CACGCCAGCUAGCUCUCUGCAACUCUCACAUGGUUGCCCACUGAAGAUAAGCAGGGCUGCGCCUGGUCAGUACCUGGAUGGGAGACCACAUGGGAAAGCUAGGUUGCUGCCGGAA
rnacentral:rRNA from 1 species